UACGUAGGGUGCAAGCGUUAUCCGGAAUUAUUGGGCGUAAAGAGCUCGUAGGCGGUUUGUCGCGUCUGCUGUGAAAACCGGAGGCUCAACCUCCGGCCUGCAGUGGGUACGGGCAAACUAGAGUGCGGUAGGGGAGACUGGAAUUCCUGGUGUAGCGGUGAAAUGCGCAGAUAUCAGGAGGAACACCGAUGGCGAAGGCAGGUCUCUGGGCCGAUACUGACGCUGAGGAGCGAAAGCGUGGGAGCGAACAGG
rnacentral:rRNA from 1 species